rnacentral:rRNA from 1 species
UACAGAGGUCCCAAACGUUGUUCGGAUUCACUGGGCGUAAAGGGCGCGUAGGCGGCGUGGUAAGUCACUUGUGAAAUCUCUGAGCUUAACUCAGAACGGUCAAGUGAUACUGCUGUGCUAGAGUGCGGAAGGGGCAAUCGGAAUUCUUGGUGUAGCGGUGAAAUGCGUAGAUAUCAAGAGGAACACCUGAGGUGAAGACGGGUUGCUGGGCCGACACUGACGCUGAUGCGCGAAAGCCAGGGGAGCAAACGGG